ACGACCUUACUUGAACAAGAUCUGUUUUAUAGGCCCGUACCUCUGAGUUCUUGAUUCCUAAGAAGACAGAAACCCAUGUCUAAUGGACGAAUCAGUACCGUGUGACUAGAGCGUGAUUAACGGAGCCACUUUUUUUCUCGGGCUCAAUGAACAUGUUAACCCGUACCCUAUUUUGAUGGGUCAGUAGAGGAUCGUUGCCAGCCCAUCUGAUGGGUC
rfam:Helianthus annuus linkage group 13, whole genome shotgun sequence.